rnacentral:lncRNA from 1 species
UUAGUGAUUCAGGAUCUUGUUGCAUUUAUUCACUUAACUACUUUUUAUCUUAUUUAUCUCCUAAGAUAUACAGGGCUCUUGGGAAUACGGCAUGACAAAGCAGACAUCAUUCUUCAAAGAUAAAGUCUUCAAAGAUAAAGCUCUGUCCAGGGUGGAAAGGCCUCACAAUGGAGCUUUAAGAAAUUGAAAUUAUUCAUGAGGCGCCGCUCAGCUGAACAUUUGGAUCCUUUCCCCCACUUCAGGGACAGAUUUCCUGGCCAGAACUUGCUGCCGAAGAAUUUAACACUGGUUAAAAGUGAACAUCUUCUCCAAAGGGGGACAUUAAUACACUUAAUGUUCAAGGAGUCUUGGCAUCCCCUGUUGAGAGGCUGCCGAACAAAUUGCAUUAGGCUGCCGAGCACCGGGCUUGCUGACCUUCUGAAUCUGGCCACUGGCCACCUGAAGAACUUUAUUCAUUCCUUCCCACUGCUCCUGCUCAACUGUUCUCCCAAAUUUUGUGAGCCCUAUUCCAGGCUAUGUGGACUUGCAUGAUCACAUUGCAUUUAUCUUCUUACACUAGAAAGUAUUUGCUCUUGGUGAAUCCUAGGCCUUGGUGAGUAUGGGGUUGCCAUAGCACCCCCACCUGUUGUCACAGCAUCUAGCUUUCUGCAUCAACAUUUCCUGUUUGUUUCUCUCUCUCCACUGUGAGGCUGUCCACCAUUUGAGGGUCAAGGUCCUUGCCUGCUUAUCUC